rnacentral:pre_miRNA from 1 species
GACCAAUCCUCAUGACAAUUUUGUGUUGGUGAGUUAGUAUAAGCUUCAGCAACAUGAGUUUUUCCUGAGGGUUAUAUAA